AUUGAACGCUGGCGGCAGGCCUAACACAUGCAAGUCGAGCGGAUGAAGGGAGCUUGCUCCUGGAUUCAGCGGCGGACGGGUGAGUAAUGCCUAGGAAUCUGCCUGGUAGUGGGGGAUAACGUCCGGAAACGGGCGCUAAUACCGCAUACGUCCUGAGGGAGAAAGUGGGGGAUCUUCGGACCUCACGCUAUCAGAUGAGCCUAGGUCGGAUUAGCUAGUUGGUGGGGUAAAGGCCUACCAAGGCGACGAUCCGUAACUGGUCUGAGAGGAUGAUCAGCCACACUGGAACUGAGACACGGUCCAGACCCCUACGGGAGGCAGCAGUGGGGAAUAUUGGACAAUGGGCGAAAGCCUGAUCCAGCCAUGCCGCGUGUGUGAAGAAGGUCUUCGGAUUGUAAAGCACUUUAAGUUGGGAGGAAGGGCAGUAAGUUAAUACCUUGCUGUUUUGACGUUACCAACAGAAUAAGCACCGGCUAACUUCGUG
rnacentral:rRNA from 1 species